AACGAACGCUGGCGGCAUGCCUAACACAUGCAAGUCGAACGGGACCUUCGGGUCUGGUGGCGCACGGGUGCGUAGCGCGUGGGAACAUGCCCUUGGAUUCGGCAUAACUCCCCGAAAGGGGUGCUAAUACCGGCUCAUGUCUUCGAACCAAAGAUUGAUCGCGUUUGGGUGGGCUCGCGUUGGAUUGGCUGGUUGGUAGGGUAAAAGCCUACCACGGCGACGAUGCGUAACGGGGUGGAGAGGCUGCUCAGCGACACUGGGCCGAGGACACGGCCCAGAAUCUUACGGGAGGGAGCAGUGGGGAAUAUUGGACAACGGGGGGAAGGAUGAUCCAGCAAUGAUGGGUGAGUGAUGAAGGUUGGAGGGUUGUAAAGCACGUUUACCCGGGAUGAUAUUGACAGUACCGGGAGAAUAAGCGCCGGCUAACUUCGUG
rnacentral:rRNA from 1 species